GUGCUUGCUUCUGCAGCACAUAUACUAAAGUUGGAACCAUACAGAGAAGAUGAGCAUGGCUCCUGUGCAAGGAUGACAUGCAAAUUUGUGAAGUAUUCCAUACUUUU